GCCGACUUCGGUGGAAGUCGAGACAGUUGGUCUGAGCAGACAGUCAGAACGAUGCUGGGGAAGAAUGUGAAACAGGCCCUGCUGAACAUGCACAAGAUUGCCUCCGACCAGGUUGACCCCCAUCCGUGUGACUUCCUGGAGACCCAUUACCUGAAUGAGCAGGUGGAGGCCAUUAAAGAAGCUGGGUGACCACAUCACCAACCUCACCAAGAUGGAUGCUGUCAACAACAAGAUGGCAGAGUACCUGUUUGACAAGCACACCCUGGGAGGCCAGAGCUAAACCACUUCCAUCCCCAGGCUACGGCCUCCGGCCUCUGACCAGGACUCCUGGCAUCUCUGCUCUAUCCUGCUGCCUUUGCAUCUUUGAGGAGGGCGAGUGAUGAACUGGUACAGAGCAAUGCAU
ensembl:lncRNA